AUAAAGACGAUGAUAAGGAAGAGUAGAUAGUAUACUGUUCUAAGAGAGGAAAAUCCGUAGGCUGAAAGAUUUUCUGUGCAAGUACUAUUGAAAACCACCUUUGAGUUGAAUAUCGAAAUAUAAUUUAAAUUUAGUAGAUAUUAUCCGCUUAAUAAGCGUUAAAAUUAUCAAGAUGACUUUAGAAUAUUGUUGUUAAUAUUCUAUUGUUAAUUUGGGUGGAACCACGAUAUUACUCGUCCCAUUU
rnacentral:ncRNA from 1 species